rnacentral:rRNA from 1 species
CGCAAGGACAUCGGCACAGGUACUGCAUGGCUGUCGUCAGCUCGUUCCGUGAGGAGUACCCUUAAGUGGGACAACGAGCGCAACCCCCAUCCCGUGUUAUAUGUAUCACGGGAGACAGAUCCGCCUUUGGCGGAUAGGAAGGAGGGGCAGACGUCAAGUCAGCAUGGUCCUUAUACCUUGGGCUACACACAUGUUACAAUGGGUAGAAACAACGGGUUUUGCCAGACCGCAAGGUCGAGCGAAUCUCUGAAAUCUAUCCUCAGUUGGGAUUGAGGUCUGAAACUCGACCUCAUGAACUCGGAAUUGGUAGUAAUCGCGAAUCAGCCAUGUCGCGGUGAAUACGUUCUUGCCUCUUGCACACACCGCCCGUCAAGCCAACAAAGUCGGCAAAAUUUGAACCCCG